CUCGUGUUUAGCGGUGUAGCUUCCAGCGGGAUCCGAUCCCAGACAGUUUAAAAAGUGAACAAAAGAAUGAAGCUCAGAAACGACAGUAUGACGGCAUCUGCAAUCCUGCUGUCCUUCUUUGUCAUUGCUUCUUGGGUUAUCUGUGUCUUCACUUUCCUCUCCUGCAGUAAACAGCUCCACCGCUGCGUUGCCGUGGUAACCUUCUAACAGUUUGUGCUUUGGACCUGCCUGAGCCUGCCAGUGGAUCACAGAGGAGAAAGACCUGCUGCUGACCUGCAGCAGAGAAGAAAUAUCAAAACG